GCUGCUCUUAAAUCCCAGGAACGUUCCGGUACUUCUGGGGACGGAAGUGGAGAGUCAGCCAGAGCCUUUCCCGGCCCCGGCCUGGGAACCUGCUUACAAGAUGACAAUUGGGUCCCUUUGGCCGAAAUUCCACUCCCGUGGGGGCCUUGCCAAGGAAAACAAGCCCAAGGACCGGGCACUAAAGGCAAAGCACAGAGUAUGCUAGCAGAGGCCAGACAGCCCGUCAACACACAUUAGACCCACGUCGCCGUGACGGCCACUCUGCCAAGACAGCUGCGCGACUGUCCCAUCUCAUGGAUGAGGAAACUGAGGCACGGGCUGACCAGGCAUGCCUGGCCCUGAAGACCUGCAGCCAGAUGCGUGGCCCCCACAUGCACAGGGGACUGCACAGAGGUCCUCGCCUGGUGACUUUACAGAGCAGAAAAGCCAAGGCCCAGAGACAGCAUGUGACCUACCCAAGGUCACACGGCAGGCACAUGGAGGCACAGGCCCAGCCUCACCCCUGGACCAGCCAUUGAGUAGAGAGUCCACUGAGGGGAGUCCCAGCCCGCCAGGGGCACAGGCCUCCCUCCCCGACCCUCAGUUUUCUACCUCUGGCUCACCUGCACUUACAGCUAGAGAGGCCCAAGAAAAGCUAGCCAGACCAUGUCCCUCCCCUGCUCAGAACCUUCCGUGUCCCCUACCUCCUAUGAAACAAAAGCUAAAAUCCUUGUAACAGCACAAGGUCCUGCACAGUCAUCUCCACACCCCUGCCUCUCUUUCCCUCCAUCACUGUGGCCCACCACACCAGCAUCUCCAAAUGCACCCAGACAAGCCUUUCAUGAGUCUGCCACAGGGCCUUUGCACUUGCUGUUCACUCCCUGGAACACUCUCCUACUAUGGUUCCAUCCCUGUAUCUCAUGGCUCAGAUGUCACCUGCUCCCUCAAGCUGUCCCCCGCCCACUUGUUUCGACCCCCUCUCCCUUUUCUGCCUUAUUUCUCUGAAUAGUACCAACCUGUGUAAUAUGCAGCUUAUUUAUCUUGUUUAUUGACUGCUUGAUCUAUGAAAGUGUGACAUUCAUGGGGCAGAGACAUCUGACAAUCUAAAGCAUGCUGGUGCCCAGCACUGACUCACAGGAAAUGUUUAAUAAAUAUCUGUUCAAUCAA